UACGUAGGUGACAAGCGUUGUCCGGAUUUACUGGGCGUAAAGAGCGCGCAGGCGGUCGAUCAAGUCGAGUGUGAAAGCCCCCGGCUCAACUGGGGAGGGUCAUUCGAUACUGAUCGACUCGAAGGCAGGAGAGGGUAGUGGAAUUCCCGGUGUAGUGGUGAAAUGCGUAGAUAUCGGGAGGAACACCAGUGGCGAAGGCGACUACCUGGCCUGUUCUUGACGCUGGUGCGCGAAAGCUAGGGGAGCAAACGGG
rnacentral:rRNA from 1 species